ACAAGUGGUUCCCGACAUUUGGAAACAACAACUAAAUGUUGCUGAACCCAACUAGCAAAUUACUUUGCGACAAGUGGACUCAAAUGUCAGCGACGUAAAGACUUCCAGUUAACGACGAGUGGACUCCCAGGCAAUCGACGUUUGGACUCCCGAGUAAUUGACGUUUGGACUCCUUUUUUCUUUUUCUGGUUUUCUUUCUUUUGGAGUGUUCUCUACGACAUAGGAACUCCUGAUCCAGCGACAAAGGGACUCCCAAUCCAUUGACGCAUGGAUUUUCAGAGUUAUUUACGCUGAAGGAUUCUUAACCACAUUGGUAUUCGUAAUAUUGGAUUUAUCGGCUAAAUAACUUAUACAUUUUUAUUAUAGAAGAAAAUUUGAAUAACAAUUAUGUGAAAAUUGUAUAUAUAUUUGAAAAUUCUCUCAUACCUACUCCAAGAUUGCUCAACUGAACAUAAUCCUUGCUAGUUGGAGUUUUCUCUAUGUUGUGGCAUGGAAGCAACAGAAUUUGCGUUUGAUGGCUCUCCUAUUUUUGCUAAUUUUUUCCCUGGCUAUCAUAUUCUGUUUCAAAUAAUAGGAACAAUAUAAGCAACCAGGUUUUUCUGAUAUGUUCACCUUUGCGGGUAAAACUAUAGGGACUGCAUCUGCGCCAUUAAGAGUUACGCCUAAAUCACCAUUAACAUUAAUGUUUAUUUCAAACUUGCCACUGUUUGCAUUCUGAUUUAUUGAGCUAACUUGGGCUGUUGCCUCUGGAUCAGUACUAGGGCUUACACUUUGUGCUGUAAAUAACAAUGUAAUACAUUCAUUAAUUUCACAA